rnacentral:rRNA from 1 species
GAUGAACGCUGGCGGCGUGCCUAAUACAUGCAAGUCGAGCGAACAGACGAGGAGCUUGCUCCUCUGACGUUAGCGGCGGACGGGUGAGUAACACGUGGAUAACCUACCUAUAAGACUGGGAUAACUUCGUGAAACCGGAGCUAAUACCGGAUAAUAUAUUGAACCGCAUGGUUCAAUAGUGAAAGACGGUUUUGCUGUCACUUAUAGAUGGAUCCGCGCCGCAUUAGCUAGUUGGUAAGGUAACGGCUUACCAAGGCAACGAUGCGUAGCCGACCUGAGAGGGUGAUCGGCCACACUGGAACUGAGACACGGUCCAGACUCCUACGGGAGGCAGCAGUAGGGAAUCUUCCGCAAUGGGCGAAAGCCUGACGGAGCAACGCCGCGUGAGUGAUGAAGGUCUUCGGAUCGUAAAACUCUGUUAUUAGGGAAGAACAAAUGUGUAAGUAACUAUGCACGUCUUGACGGUACCUAGUCAGAAAGCCACGGCUAACUACGUG